rnacentral:lncRNA from 1 species
CGGCGAGAUAAGUUCUCCAACUUAUGAUGAUUGACUGACACCCACCGUGCAAGUUCCUUUGAUAUGGAUCUUACUGUGCUUUUCGUUAUUGAACGCCAUCCGACAAACCUGUGCACGUUGGUGUUUUGGAAAAUGUUUAGUUCUGAUUGUGGUGUUGUUUGCUAGCGUUGUUGAGUGUGUGACUGACAGAUGAUGAAAACAAAUCGCAUUAUGGAACAUUCGCAGUUACAAACGUCCGGUUGGUGCAUUUUGUUACGGCUUCUCUAUAAUAAAGCCAUUUGCCUCACUAUACAUUUUCCUGUCUCGAUUUAUGUUUCAACUAUUGUGGGAACUAGGGCUACAUUAUUUGCCUAGGAAAACAGUGUAGUCGGAGAAACCAUCCGAUUGGCAGGAGCUCAAAUAAGAAGCCUGGGUCCUAUUCAUUAGUCCACACCGGGGCAAAACGUUUUACAACUGCAAACGAAAACGAGAGUUUCUUAUAGGACAAGUCUAGACUAGUCUUUCCCAGUUUCAGUACAUCUUCUUCCGUAUGGCGCUUAAUGAAUACGCCACAGGGAUUUAUUACUGAAUUUGCUAGGCAACCGAAUUUCAACCCCUGUCAAUGAACUCAGGAGGCACACAGGAUCAUACGCCCAUGUCAAAGCGCUGGCUCAAUGCCCAUGUGUGCCAAAAUUAAGAUGAUGACAAUACGAUUAGCUCUACAGCAUCAUCAUUUUUCAUACACUAACAUUCUGACUAUUGAAUUUUGAGAAUUAAGAGAAUGGUCAUUAUGAUUUUGACAGCUUAGUGGAGAAG